rnacentral:rRNA from 1 species
UACGAAGGGGGCUAGCGUUGCUCGGAAUUACUGGGCGUAAAGCGCACGUAGGCGGCUUUCUAAGUCAGGGGUGAAAUCCUGGAGCUCAACUCCAGAACUGCCUUUGAUACUGGGGAGCUCGAGUCCGGAAGAGGUGAGUGGAACUCCGAGUGUAGAGGUGAAAUUCGUAGAUAUUCGGAAGAACACCAGUGGCGAAGGCGGCUCACUGGUCCGGUACUGACGCUGAGGUGCGAAAGCGUGGGGAGCAAACAGG